rnacentral:rRNA from 1 species
GACGAACGCUGGCGGCAGGCCUAACACAUGCAAGUCGAGCGGACCUUUCGGGGUCAGCGGCGGACGGGUGAGUAACGCGUGGGAAUAUGCCCUUCUCUACGGAAUAGUCCUGGGAAACUGGGGGUAAUACCGUAUACGCCCUUUGGGGGAAAGAUUUAUCGGGGAAGGAUUAGCCCGCGUUGGAUUAGGUAGUUGGUGGGGUAAUGGCCUACCAAGCCGACGAUCCAUAGCUGGUUUGAGAGGAAGGGCAGCCACACUGGGACGGGGACACGGCCCAGAAUCUUACGGGAGGGGGCAGUGGGGGAUCUUGGCAAACGGGGGCAAUCCUGAAGGCGCCAGGGCGGUUGAGCGAUGAUGGUCUGAGGGUAGAAAAGCUCUUUAAGCUGGCAAGAUAAUGACGGUACCAAAAGAAGAAGCCCCGGCUAACUUCGUG